UACGUAGGAGGCGAGCGUUUGUCCGGAAUUACUGGGCGUAAAGAGCGCGUAGGCGGCCCGCCGCGUCGGUCGUGAAAGCUCCCGGCUCACCCGGGAGAGGGCGACCGAAACGGGCGGGCUUUGAGGGCGGUAGGGGCUGGCGGAACGCCCGGAGUAGCGGUGAAAUGCGUUGAGAUCGGGCAGAACACCAGUGGCGAAGGCGGCCGGGCUGGGCCGACCCUGACGCUGAGGCGCGAAAGC
rnacentral:rRNA from 1 species